rnacentral:tRNA from 1 species
GUAUAAGUAGCUCAGUGCUAAGAGCUCCGGUUUUGUAAUCCGGAGGACGAAGGUUAAAAUCCUUCCUUCUACA